rnacentral:rRNA from 1 species
UACGAGGGGGGCAAGCGUUGUUCGGAAUUAUUGGGCGUAAAGGGUGCGUAGGCGGUUUGAUAAGUCACAUGUGAAAUCUUCGGGCUCAACCCGAAGUCUGCAUGCGAAACUGUCGGGCUUGAGUAUGGGAGAGGUGAGUGGAAUUUCCGGUGUAGCGGUGAAAUGCGUAGAUAUCGGAAGGAACACCAAUUGCGAAGGCAGCUCGCUGGGACGUGACUGACGCUGAGACGCGAAAGCGUGGGGAGCAAACAGG